AAGGGUGCGUAACACGUGGGUAAUUUGCCGUGAAGUUGGGGAUAACUCGCUGAAAGGCGAGCUAAUACCGAAUGUGACGAUUGGAAGGCAUCUUCUGAUCUUCAAAGUUGGGGACCGCAAGGCCUGACGCUUCACGAUAAGCCCGCGGCCUAUCAGCUAGUUGGUGAGGUAACGGCUCACCAAGGCAAUGAUCGGUAGCCGGACUGAGAGGUUGGCCGGCCACACUGGAACUGAGACACGGUCCAGACUCCUACGGGAGGCAGCAGUGGGGAAUCUUGCACAAUGGACGAAAGUCUGAUGCAGCAACGCCGCGUGGGGGAUGAAGCUUCUCGGAGUGUAAACCCCUUUCGACCUGGAAGAAUGCCCGCAAGGGUUUGACGGUACAGGUAUAAGAAGCCCCGGCUAACUACGUGCCAGCAGCCGCGG
rnacentral:rRNA from 1 species